rnacentral:tRNA from 1 species
AGGCUUAUAGUUUAAUGGUAAAACGUCUCGCUCAUAACGGGUUUUUUGUAGGUUCAAAUCCUACUAAGCCUA